rnacentral:rRNA from 1 species
GGCUUAGAAGCAGCCAUCAUUUAAAGAAAGCGUAAUAGCUCACUGGUCGAGUCGGCCUGCGCGGAAGAUGUAACGGGGCUAAACCAUGCACCGAAGCUGCGGCAGCGACGCUGAUGCGUUGUUGGGUAGGGGAGCGUUCUGUAAGCCUGUGAAGGUGGCCUGUGAGGGUUGCUGGAGGUAUCAGAAGUGCGAAUGCUGACAUAAGUAACGAUAAAGCGGGUGAAAAGCCCGCUCGCCGGAAGACCAAGGGUUCCUGUCCAACGUUAAUCGGGGCAGGGUGAGUCGACCCCUAAGGCGAGGCCGAAAGGCGUAGUCGAUGGGAAACGGGUUAAUAUUCCCGUACUUGGUGUUACUGCGAAGGGGGGACGGAGAAGGCUAUGUUGGCCGGGCGACGGUUGUCCCGGUUUAAGCGUGUAGGUGUGUGUUCCAGGUAAAUCCGGUUCACUUUAACACUGAGGCGUGAUGACGAGGCACUACGGUGCUGAAGCAACAAAUGCCCUGCUUCCAGGAAAAGCCUCUAAGCAUCAGGUAACAUCAAAUCGUACCCCAAACCGACACAGGUGGUCAGGUAGAGAAUACCAAGGCGCUUGAGAGAACUCGGGUGAAGGAACUAGGCAAAAUGGUGCCGUAACUUCGGGAGAAGGCACGCUGACACGUAGGUGAAGUGAUUUACUCAUGGAGCUGAAGUCAGUCGAAGAUACCAGCUGGCUGCAACUGUUUAUUAAAAACACAGCACUGUGCAAACACGAAAGUGGACGUAUACGGUGUGACGCCUGCCCGGUGCCGGAAGGUUAAUUGAUGGGGUCAGCGCAAGCGAAGCUCCUGAUCGAAGCCCCGGUAAACGGCGGCCGUAACUAUAACGGUCCUAAGGUAGCGAAAUUCCUUGUCGGGUAAGUUCCGACCUGCACGAAUGGCGUAAUGAUGGCCAGGCUGUCUCCACCCGAGACUCAGUGAAAUUGAACUCGCUGUGAAGAUGCAGUGUACCCGCGGCAAGACGGAAAGACCCCGUGAACCUUUACUAUAGCUUGACACUGAACAUUGAGCCUUGAUGUGUAGGAUAGGUGGGAGGCUUUGAAGUGUGGACGCCAGUCUGCAUGGAGCCGGCCUUGAAAUACCACCCUUUAAUGUUUGAUGUUCUAACGUGGACCCGUGAUCCGGGUUGCGGACAGUGUCUGGUGGGUAGUUUGACUGGGGCGGUCUCCUCCUAAAGAGUAACGGAGGAGCACGAAGGUUGGCUAAUCCUGGUCGGACAUCAGGAGGUUAGUGCAAUGGCAUAAGCCAGCUUGACUGCGAGCGUGACGGCGCGAGCAGGUGCGAAAGCAGGUCAUAGUGAUCCGGUGGUUCUGAAUGGAAGGGCCAUCGCUCAACGGAUAAAAGGUACUCCGGGGAUAACAGGCUGAUACCGCCCAAGAGUUCAUAUCGACGGCGGUGUUUGGCACCUCGAUGUCGGCUCAUCACAUCCUGGGGCUGAAGUAGGUCCCAAGGGUAUGGCUGUUCGCCAUUUAAAGUGGUACGCGAGCUGGGUUUAGAACGUCGUGAGACAGUUCGGUCCCUAUCUGCCGUGGGCGCUGGAGAACUGAGGGGGGCUGCUCCUAGUACGAGAGGACCGGAGUGGACGCAUCACUGGUGUUCGGGUUGUCAUGCCAAUGGCACUGCCCGGUAGCUAAAUGCGGAAGAGAUAAGUGCUGAAAGCAUCUAAGCACGAAACUUGCCCCGAGAUGAGUUCUCCCUGAGACUUUAGGUCUCCUGAAGGAACGUUGAAGACGACGACGUUGAUAGGCCGGGUGUGUAAGCGCAGCGAUGCGUUGAGCUAACCGGUACUAAUGAACCGUGAGGCUUAACCUUACA